rnacentral:rRNA from 1 species
GGUUAAGCGACUAAGCGUACACGGUGGAUGCCCUGGCAGUCAGAGGCGAUGAAGGACGUGCUAAUCUGCGAAAAGCGUCGGUAAGGUGAUAUGAACCGUUAUAACCGGCGAUGUCCGAAUGGGGAAACCCAGUGUGUUUCGACACACUAUCAUUAACUGAAUCCAUAGGUUAAUGAGGCGAACCGGGGGAACUGAAACAUCUAAGUACCCCGAGGAAAAGAAAUCAACCGAGAUUCCCCCAGUAGCGGCGAGCGAACGGGGAGGAGCCCAGAGCCUGAAUCAGUGUGUGUGUUAGUGGAAGCGUCUGGAAAGGCGCGCGAUACAGGGUGACAGCCCCGUACACAAAAAUGCACAUGCUGUGAGCUCGAUGAGUAGGGCGGGACACGUGGUAUCCUGUCUGAAUAUGGGGGGACCAUCCUCCAAGGCUAAAUACUCCUGACUGACCGAUAGUGAACCAGUACCGUGAGGGAAAGGCGAAAAGAACCCCGGCGAGGGGAGUGAAAAAGAACCUGAAACCGUGUACGUACAAGCAGUGGGAGCCCUGAUUUAUCAGGGUGACUGCGUACCUUUUGUAUAAUGGGUCAGCGACUUAUAUUCUGUAGCAAGGUUAACCGAAUAGGGGAGCCGGAGGGAAACCGAGUCUUAACUGGGCGUUAAGUUGCAGGGUAUAGACCCGAAACCCGGUGAUCUAGCCAUGGGCAGGUUGAAGGUUGGGUAACACUAACUGGAGGACCGAACCGACUAAUGUUGAAAAAUUAGCGGAUGACUUGUGGCUGGGGGUGAAAGGCCAAUCAAACCGGGAGAUAGCUGGUUCUCCCCGAAAGCUAUUUAGGUAGCGCCUCGUGAAUUCAUCUCCGGGGGUAGAGCACUGUUUCGGCAAGGGGGUCAUCCCGACUUACCAACCCGAUGCAAACUGCGAAUACCGGAGAAUGUUAUCACGGGAGACACACGGCGGGUGCUAACGUCCGUCGUGAAGAGGGAAACAACCCAGACCGCCAGCUAAGGUCCCAAAGUCAUGGUUAAGUGGGAAACGAUGUGGGAAGGCCCAGACAGCCAGGAUGUUGGCUUAGAAGCAGCCAUCAUUUAAAGAAAGCGUAAUAGCUCACUGGUCGAGUCGGCCUGCGCGGAAGAUGUAACGGGGCUAAACCAUGCACCGAAGCUGCGGCAGCGACGCUGAUGCGUUGUUGGGUAGGGGAGCGUUCUGUAAGCCUGUGAAGGUGUGCUGUGAGGCAUGCUGGAGGUAUCAGAAGUGCGAAUGCUGACAUAAGUAACGAUAAAGCGGGUGAAAAGCCCGCUCGCCGGAAGACCAAGGGUUCCUGUCCAACGUUAAUCGGGGCAGGGUGAGUCGACCCCUAAGGCGAGGCCGAAAGGCGUAGUCGAUGGGAAACAGGUUAAUAUUCCUGUACUUGGUGUUACUGCGAAGGGGGGACGGAGAAGGCUAUGUUGGCCGGGCGACGGUUGUCCCGGUUUAAGCGUGUAGGCUGGUUUUCCAGGCAAAUCCGGAGAAUCAAGGCUGAGGCGUGAUGACGAGGCACUACGGUGCUGAAGCAACAAAUGCCCUGCUUCCAGGAAAAGCCUCUAAGCAUCAGGUAACAUCAAAUCGUACCCCAAACCGACACAGGUGGUCAGGUAGAGAAUACCAAGGCGCUUGAGAGAACUCGGGUGAAGGAACUAGGCAAAAUGGUGCCGUAACUUCGGGAGAAGGCACGCUGAUAUGUAGGUGAAGCGACUUGCUCGUGGAGCUGAAAUCAGUCGAAGAUACCAGCUGGCUGCAACUGUUUAUUAAAAACACAGCACUGUGCAAACACGAAAGUGGACGUAUACGGUGUGACGCCUGCCCGGUGCCGGAAGGUUAAUUGAUGGGGUCAGCGCAAGCGAAGCUCUUGAUCGAAGCCCCGGUAAACGGCGGCCGUAACUAUAACGGUCCUAAGGUAGCGAAAUUCCUUGUCGGGUAAGUUCCGACCUGCACGAAUGGCGUAAUGAUGGCCAGGCUGUCUCCACCCGAGACUCAGUGAAAUUGAACUCGCUGUGAAGAUGCAGUGUACCCGCGGCAAGACGGAAAGACCCCGUGAACCUUUACUAUAGCUUGACACUGAACACUGGUCCUUGAUGUGUAGGAUAGGUGGGAGGCUUUGAAGUGUGGACGCCAGUCUGCAUGGAGCCGUCCUUGAAAUACCACCCUUUAAUGGCUGGUGUUCUAACGUUGGCCCCUUAUCGGGGUUGCGGACAGUGUCUGGUGGGUAGUUUGACUGGGGCGGUCUCCUCCUAAAGAGUAACGGAGGAGCACGAAGGUUGGCUAAUCCUGGUCGGACAUCAGGAGGUUAGUGCAAUGGCAUAAGCCAGCUUGACUGCGAGCGUGACGGCGCGAGCAGGUGCGAAAGCAGGUCAUAGUGAUCCGGUGGUUCUGAAUGGAAGGGCCAUCGCUCAACGGAUAAAAGGUACUCCGGGGAUAACAGGCUGAUACCGCCCAAGAGUUCAUAUCGACGGCGGUGUUUGGCACCUCGAUGUCGGCUCAUCACAUCCUGGGGCUGAAGUAGGUCCCAAGGGUAUGGCUGUUCGCCAUUUAAAGUGGUACGCGAGCUGGGUUUAGAACGUCGUGAGACAGUUCGGUCCCUAUCUGCCGUGGGCGCUGGAGAACUGAGGGGGGCUGCUCCUAGUACGAGAGGACCGGAGUGGACGCAUCACUGGUGUUCGGGUUGUCAUGCCAAUGGCACUGCCCGGUAGCUAAAUGCGGAAGAGAUAAGUGCUGAAAGCAUCUAAGCACGAAACUUGCCCUGAGAUGAGUUCUCCCUGAGACUUAGAGUCUCCUGAAGGAACGUUGAAGACGACGACGUUGAUAGGCCGGGUGUGUAAGCGCAGCGAUGCGUUGAGCUAACCGGUACUAAUGAACCGUGAGGCUUAACCUU